CUCCCCCCAGGUAGACGGCAGGCAGGACUUGGGAUUGGAGGCAGCAAAGAGGACAGCAGUGAGGGGGCAAGGGGAUUGUCAGGCCCCCGUGCUUUUUGUGCGGUCACCUGGAAAGUUCUGCAAUCCAUUCCUGGAGUUCCUGAGGGAGCCGCUGCAGCAAGGAAGUUAAGAAGGCUUGCUCACUGUAAUGCUCUGAGAAGUGUUACCUGGAUGAGAGUUUGCAGCUGAAGAUGUUGCCAGAGCUUAGAAGAGAGAAUUGCUUGCAUUUGAAGAUGAUGGAGCCGUCAAUCCACACUAGAGCCUGCUUGCUAGGUUUCCAGCCUACAGCGCUUCAAUUCGGUGAGGAAGAACCUUCAUUGCGCGGCAUUCAGCGAUAGCAACAAAGCGACUCCCUUCUCCGGACGUGUUCACGAGCUGUGUGCAGAGGGCUCUUAAAGUGCCUCAUGCACCAGCUGUCUCGUCUGCAUUGGAUGCUGCAGUACAGCUGUAUCUCCAGUGACCCAGCAUAGCCAUGGAUCGACUGCCCAAGGGUACGGUCAUGAGGCAGCACAUGAGAUGAGGACUAUAAGGGACUUCCUGACAGAAGAUGCCAGACAUGAAAAGAGAAGAAUCAAAAUAAAAAUUGGAGAACAAUGACCUUCCACUUUGGGGACAGAAUUAAGAGCAUCACUGCACAGCACUUGGAAAUUGCUGGAAAAAUCAAGCUGUCAGAAGAAUGGCAGAAGAACAGAACACAUAGAAGAUAGAAGCAAUUAGAAUUAGACAACUGAAUGACCACAUGAAUUGAAAACACUGAAGAAAAUGGAAUGACUAGAUCAAAAAGUUUUUCAUUGGCCACAGCACAGAAACCACUAUCCAUGUUGAAUUGUCAGAAUCAUCACUGCUCUCAGGAAUUCCUGCUCUCAAGGGACUGAGACACUGCAAUUGCUAUUUAUUGUAAUGAGAGGAAGAUGCAUAGUGUGGGAAGAUUUGCCAUACGAUGGGAACUGUGAAUCAAGAAUGGUCAGGAGAGAAGGUCUGUUCCUCUGCCACCAUCCUUUCCACAAGUCUAAGAGAAGACAAGGAAUACAGUAACAGCCUGGAAGCAAUCUCCACUUCUCAAGUCUUCAGUGCUCCUGUUGAAGUGGAUGACUAUUAAACUCCACCAAUUUAAAAACGCUAGCAUUCGAGGAGAUGGAAGGAGAGUUAGUGAAGCAGCAUUGCUUAUUGCUGCUAGAAGGAUAAAAAGCAUUCAUUAUUCAGAUGAAAAGAUAUGUAAUGUGGGCAAGAUGAAAAUUUAAUUUUUUGCUAGGGAUUAUUAAGACAAUAAGGGAUUUCCAACUUGAGAGUCUAUAAUGGACUACAAAUACCAAUUUUAGUGAUAGUACUUUUAAAAUGGUCUUUGAUUUCAGGAUAACAUCUGUGUACCAUUAUGGCCAACAACUUUCAAAUAAAAGAGAACUGUUUUUUUUCAGAGAUUUCACAGGAAUAUACCACAUCUGCUUGCUCAGUAGAAAGCCAAUGAGCAGCACAUCAGCCUGCUGAAGCUGGUCCAUGUGUGCAAGUCUCUCAGAAAGCCAGAAGUACUGCUAAAGGUGCAGUGCACAGUGUUUAAACUGGUCUCUUCUUCAGUUUAUUGCCUGUCACUAAUGAAAGAAAACUGCCUCAACAGAAGGCUUAUGUCACAUGUAACCAUCCUAUUACUUAAGCUAUUUCCCAUGGUAUCUGUAUUUCCCAAUACAGUUUAGGUUAUGAUUGCAAAUCACAGGUCCACUGAGGUUUUUUAAAAGUCUUUACUCACCACUUUGCAACAGAGGGGCCAGAACCACCAGAGCAGGCCAAGCGCCACCAGAAGUAACAGCACAAGAACAGCAAUAAGUGCUGCUACUCCGCUAGACUGCAAAGAAAGCAGAAAGACAACAUCAGUGGAUGGUGCAAACAAUUCCUCUCACUUGCCCCCAAACAGCCUCCAACUAGCUGAUACAACCAAACAAAUCCACUUAUUUAUUUUUUAUUUUCUACUUACUGUCUUGCUUUCUCUCCAACAGAGAAACGUAGCACGAAGGAUCAAGAUAGGUAUCUCAGUCAAAAUCGUAUUUGGUGUAAGUUCAGUAACA